rnacentral:lncRNA from 10 species
ACCUGAAGUUCCUGGGCCUGGCUCAUAAGUUUUUUAUAAUGUUCCAGAAGAUAUAUCAGAUACAAAGAGAACCCUUAAAAAAAGAGAAGCAGGAAGAAGGUGGAAAACAACCCAUCAACAGAACACCUAUUUACUGUCUACUGUGUGUGAAGCAUGGUGCUGAGUGUGGGGGAUGGUCUAAAGCCAAGACCUCCAGGGGCUU